AAUUUCCUUCCACUUUCUUUCUUUUCCUUCCAAAUUCCUUCUACCAAACAAACUGUAAAAGAAAAUCAAACUCUCUCUCCUCUCCCGGUGAAACCCCGACCCCUCCCUUCUGUUCGCUGCCUUCUCGUCGGCCUCCCUUGCUUGCUGGUGAAGUCGCGUCGAACCUCGCCGCCGCUCGCCACUGCACCAUCGCAAAUUUCUCUCUCCUCUCCUCUAACUUUCGGCUGAGCCUAGCUUCAUGGCGUUGUCUUGUCGGCGCUGCUGUCAUCCAUCGCGGUCUGUGGCGGUGUUGUUGAUGUUGUUGUCGUCGUUGCGGCGCCCUUCUUGCGGGUGUUGAAUCACCACUUGUCGUCACUCUCUCCCUUCUUGUUGUUGCUGCUGCCGAGGUUUAUGUCCCCUGUUGCUGUCGUUGUUGAUGGUGCUGCUGCUGCUGGGUGGUGGUCCGCCACCACCGCACAUUGCCGCUGCAAUUGCUGGCCUUCUUUCUCUCUUCUCGCGUUGCUAUGUUGCUGCGUUGUCGCCGUCGUGGCGUGGGUCUCCUCUUUUUGUAUCUUAAAUGUUUCAGGUUGAAGCCGUGAGUUAUUCUUUUGCAAGUUGAAGCUGAUACGAGAUGGUGCAGUAUUAUAUUUGUUAUUGAAGUGAGGACACUCCACUGGUAAUAGUUAAUCGUUUAUAAUCUAUAAUCUAUUUCUUCAUUUAAGAAUCGUUAGCUAGUGCUCUUGAUUAUCUGUUGGUUGUUGCUCCGCGAAAGCGUUGAGAUUGUUGAGCUUUGAGAUUUGGAAAUAUUUUAUAAAUUGAAUUUGCAAACAGGUUUAAAUCA